GAUGAACGCUGGCGGCGUGCCUAAUACAUGCAAGUCGAGCGAACGGACGAGAAGCUUGCUUCUCUGAUGUUAGCGGCGGACGGGUGAGUAACACGUGUAUAACCUACCUAUAAGACUGGGAUAACUUCGGGAAACCGGAGCUAAUACCGGAUAAUAUUUUGAACCGCAUGGUUCAAAAGUGAAAGACGGUCUUGCUGUCACUUAUAGAUGGAUCUGCGCUGCAUUAGCUAGUUGGUAGGGUAACGGCUUACCAAGGCAACGAUGCAUAGCCGACCUGAGAGGGGGAUCGGCGGCAUGGGAGCGGGAACAGGGUCCAGAGUCCUGCGGGAGGCAGCAGUAGGGAAUCUGCCGCAAUGGGCGAAAGCCUGACGGAGCGACGCCGCGUGAGUGAUGAAGGUCUUCGGAUCGUAAAGCUCUGUUAUUGGGGAAGAACAUAUGUGUAAGUAACUGUGCACAGCUUGACGGUACCUAAUCAGAAAGCCACGGCUAACUACGUG
rnacentral:rRNA from 1 species